rnacentral:rRNA from 1 species
UAACACGUAAACAACCUGCCUUCAGGAUGGGGACAACAGACGGAAACGACUGCUAAUACCGAAUAAGUUCCAAGGCCGCAUGGCCCAUGGAAGAAAAGGUGGCCUCUACCUGUAAGCUAUCGCCUGAAGAGGGGUUUGCGUCUGAUUAGCUGGUUGGAGGGGUAACGGCCCACCAAGGCGACGAUCAGUAGCCGGUCUGAGAGGAUGAACGGCCACACUGGAACUGAGACACGGUUCAG